UCCCAGCUUUGAUGUUAUUGUACUGUCUCCUCCUUCUAGAUGGUAGAGGGGUGAACAGGCCGUGGCUCGGGUGGCUGAGGUCCUUGAUGAUCUUCUAGAUGGUAGAGGGGUGAACAGGCUGUGGCUCGGGGUGGCUGAGGUCCUUGAUGAUCUUCUAGAUGGUAGAGGGGUGAACAGACUGUGGCUCGGGGUGGCUGAGGUCCUUGAUGAUCUUCUAGAUGGUAGCAGGGUGAACAGGCCGUGGCUCGGGGUGGCUGAGGUCAUUGAUGAUCUUGAUUUUGUGCCUUGCGAACUCCGCCUCCAGCAAGAGAUCAACCUCUGACAGUGUGCCAGAAGAAACGGGAGGAUGGAGCCAAAAGAAAUGGACGGUGAGUGGAUCUAAACUCAUGGAGCUUUUCCAAACCUGCCAGCAGGUGGAGCUGUCGUGACUGAUAGAAGAACCACCACUUGCUGUUUAACCUGUCAAGG
rnacentral:lncRNA from 1 species